rnacentral:rRNA from 1 species
GCCAGCAGCCAUAUCACUCUGCAACUCCCAGCUGGCAGCCCCACUGAAGCUCAGCAGGUGUGAGCCUGGUCAGUACCUGGAUGGGAGACUCCUGGGAAAACUAAGGAAGCUGCUGGAA